GUUUAUCUCUUGACUGGAUAUGAAAUUUGUGAAAUACUAAUUUUAAAGGGGGAGUGACAGUGUGCUUUUCUAACUCCUCUGCCAAUCAAACAGUUCGAUGCCAAAAAUACACUGGGUGUAGGGAGUAAAGAGCAGUAUUGCUGGACCAAGUUCCACUAUUUCUAUGGGACUUUAAGCUCCACAUGUGGCCAUUUCUUGGCGACCCCUGCUAAAUUUGUUUUUCAGAUGUAUGCAGCAGAUAGCUGAACCUAAUAUGCAGAAAAACUGUACUACCAGAGUUUUAGGAAAUCAACU